AUGAAAAGGAGAAAUAAAGUUAUCACACUUGAUGCAGUGGUAGCAUUUAUUUUAUCUAUAUCCAAAAUAUGGAGCCUUAUAAAUUUUCAGUAUCUCUAUAAAAGGAGUUAAACCAGGUGCUCCGCAGGGUGCAGCUUUAUACGACGCAGAGGUCGAAACCCUGAACAGUUGGGGCAAUAUGGACAAAACGUUCGCGUGAUACGCUCUGAAUUUGGAUUGUGAUCAAAUUUUUUGACAUAACAUGUUUUUUUUUACAAAAAAAUGUCAAGAUUUUACAAAUCAUUAAAGAUUUCUUCUUCAAAUUUUUAAAUCUAAAAUUAAAUAGUUGACACAGCAUAGGUUUCUGACACAGAAUGAAUGUGGUUAAGAACUUAAAAUAUUUUUUUUGCCUUUGAGCAAUUCCUAUGCUGUUGAAUAUUAUCCUCUCAAAAAAAUGUUUGAAGAAAUUUUCUUUUUAUUUAUGAAAUCUAAAUGAGAAAAAUUUAAACCCCCCUUUUUCACAUCCCCGUUUCCCUUUUUCCAAACUGAUAUCAAUUCAAAUUUCUAAUGGAGUUUGCAACAAUAACUACUCUUUAAAACAUCAUAAAAUAUUAAAAUGUAAAAUAAAGUGCUUGUUAUCAGAAUGGUAAAGAUUGGUUGUAGUAAAAGUGAAUAUAAUUGUUUAUUGUAUAAAACAAUAAAAAAAACUUCAUCAACAACAUUUUAUAUUGGCAAAUUUCCAAUGAAGUUAUUAACAUAAAGUUAUUGGCAAAUAAAAAGAAAAUGACAUCAUAGUCAUGUCUGGCAAAUGUCCAACAUACAUUAUCUAAAAACAUUUUAGAUAAGAUAAGGAAAAAAAGCUUCAUCAGCAACAUUUAUAUUUGGCAAAUUUCAAUGAAGUUAUUUACAUAAAGUUAUUGCAAAUAAAAAUAGAAAAUGACAUCAUAGUCAUGUCGUCAAUUCCAACAUAUAUUAUCAACUUCUAUUCUAUACAAAGAAAGAUAACUCCAAUUGAAAAUUUAAUUGCUAUUGCAAAUAUGUGCAAUUAGAUAUUUCUUGCUAUUGUGCAAUACUGUGCAAUUGAAAAUCUUGCUAUUGCACAAUACUUGAUAUGGAUCCUGAUUUGGACCAAACUUGAAAACUGGGCCCAUAAUCAAAAAUCAAAUACAUAUUUAGAUAAAGCAUAUCAAAUAAGCCCAAGAAUUUAAUUUUUGUUAAAAUCAAACUAGUUUAAUUUUGGACCUUUGGACCUUAAUGUAGACAUUUGAAAACUGGACCAAAAAUUAAGAAUCUACAUACACAGUUAGAUUUGGCAUAUCAAAGAACCCAUUAUUCAAUUUUUGAUGAACAAAGUUUAAUUUUGGACCCCCAUUUGGACCAACUUGAAAACUGGCCAAUAAUUAAAAAUCUAAGUACAUUUCUAAAUUCAGCAUAUCAAACAACCCCCAGGAUUCAAUUUUUGUUAAAAUCAAACUAAGUUUAAUUUUGGACCCUUUGGACCUUAAUUAGACCAAUUUGAAAACGGGACCAAAAAUUAAGAAUCUUCAUACACAGUUAGAUUCGGCAUACCAAAGAACCCCAAUUAUUCAAUUUUUGAUGAAAUCAAACAAAGUUUAAUUUGGACCCUUUGGGCCCUUUAUUCCUAAACUGUUGGGACCAAAUCUCCCAAAUCGAUCCAACCUUCCUUUUAUGGUCAUAAACCUUGUGUUUAAAUUUCAUAGAUUUUAUUUACUUAAACUAAAGUUAUUUGUGCGAAAACCAAGAAUAAUGCUUAUUUGGGCCCUUUUUUGCCCCUAAUUCCUAAACUGUUGGAACCCAAAACUCCAAAAUCAAUCCAACCUUUCUUUUGUGGUCAUAAACCUUGUGUCAAAAUUUCAUAGAUUUCUAUUAACUUAAACUAAAGUUAUAGUGCGAAAACCAAGAAAAUGCUUAUUUGGGCCCUUUUUGGCCCCUUAUUCCUAAAAUGUUGGGACCAAAACUCCCAAAAUCAAUCCCAACUUCCUUGUGGUCAUAAACCUAUGUUAAAAUUUCAUAGAUUUCUAUUCACUUUUACUAAAGUUAGAGUGCGAAAACUAAAAGUAUUGGGACGACGACGACGCCGACAACGCCAACGUGAUAGCAAUAUACGACGAAAAUUUUUUCAAAUUUUGCGGUCGUAUAAAAAGUAAAUUGGAUUUAUGAGAUCAACUAAUCAAUUAUAAAAUUAUAAAGACAUAAAUACAACCAUUAGAAAGAUUAUGUUUAUAACUGAAUGAUAACAAAUUAACACAUGUUAUUUAUUGCAAAAAUUUCAUAAUACAUGAUAUUCAUAUAUC
rnacentral:lncRNA from 1 species